rnacentral:ncRNA from 1 species
AUGUCUUUAUUUAAUAAUCCUUUUCCAACUAAAUGAAUUAUUUGAUAUUUUUUAGUUAGCUCUUCAAUAUUAUCCCAAAUAUAAUCAUUAAGUAUUUUUGAACCUAAAGAUCCACCCAUUACUAGAAUAACAGGUUUUCCUUCAUUAAAACCUGUAAAUUCAUA